CCUACGGGUCGCAGCAGUGGGGAAUAUUGCACAAUGGGCACAAGCCUGAUGCAGCCAUGCCGCGUGUGUGAAGAAGGCCUUCGGGUUGUAAAGCACUUUCAGCGGGGAGGAAGGCGCUAAGGUUAAUAACCUUAGCGAUUGACGUUACCCGCAGAAGAAGCACCGGCUAACUCCGUGCCAGCAGCCGCGGUAAUACGGAGGGUGCAAGCGGUAAUCGGAAUUACUGGGCGUAAGGCGCACGCAGGCUGUCUGUCAAGUCGGAUGUGAAAUCCCCGGGCUCAACCUGGGAACUGCAUUCGAAACUGGCAGGCUAGAGUCUUGUAGAGGGGGGUAGAAUUCCAGGUGUAGCGGUGAAAUGCGUAGAGAUCUGGAGGAAUACCGGUGGCGGAGGCGGCCCCCUGGACAAAGACUGACGCUCAGGUGCGAAAGCGUGGGGAGCAAACAGGAUUAGAUACCCCGGUAGUC
rnacentral:rRNA from 1 species